GUUUUAAACUAUGUAAAUACGAGUGGAACAUAGUUUGACAUUAAUUUUUCAUUAAGUGAGAAAUAUUUGAUGGAUGCUUAAAUUCCCUCUUGCACCAUUGCAUCAUUCUUACGCUUAAUUUCACCCUGUUUUGUUAUUUUUAGGCGACUUUUGUAGAUUUUUUAACCAUCUGCGUCCUGCAAUUCCUCAUUGAAAAUGAAAUAUGGAGGACGCAGAUGGUUAAAAAAUCUACAAAA
rnacentral:misc_RNA from 1 species